rnacentral:lncRNA from 1 species
GUGGAACAUAGGCUUGGAUUUCAUAAGUUGAGAUCGUCGAAGGUAGCUCUCCCCCUUUAUUUUUAUGAUAAUCUAUGUGCGGGGAGUAGUUUGAGGGGUAUAAGGGUCAUAUCUAUUACCAGGGUUUUUGGGCUUCAUGUUUGGUUGGAAGGGCGGAGCCUCUUUCUCAGCACAGACUUGGCUGAGUCCUGCAGAGGUCCCUUCC